GGGCGUAUAGCUCAGCUGGGAGAGCACCUGCCUUACAAGCAGGGGGUCGUAGGUUCGAGCCCUGCUACGCCCACCA
rnacentral:tRNA from 1 species